GUCCACGCCGUAAACGAUGAGAACUAGAUGUUGGGGGGGUUGCCUCCCGGUGUCGCAGCUAACGCGUUAAGUUCUCCGCCUGGGGAGUACGCCGGCAACGGUAAAACUCAAAGGAAUUGACGGGGACCCGCACAAGCGGUGGAGCAUGUGGUUUAAUUCGAUGCAACGCGAAGAACCUUACCUGCCCUUGACAUACUCGGAACUUUCCAGAGAUGGAUUGGUGCCUUCGGGAGCCGAGAUACAGGUGCUGCAUGGCUGUCGU
rnacentral:rRNA from 1 species